AGCAGCAGCCCCCAGAGAGAGGCGGGCUGUGAGCUCGGGGCCCGAAGAGCUCCAGUCUCACCUGUAGCGUAUAACAGAGUGAAAAGUAACGGUAGCAUCUAUUUUUAUGCAAAACUCACGUUUUUGUUUGUUUUUUUUGAUGCUUAUUUUUGGGGAGGCGGAGGAGGACGGGCAAGAAGCUUUUUGGGAAUUGUCAGUCUGACCUGUGUCAAAGUACAUCAUGUCCUAGCUGGAAAUGGCCGUGGGCAUUGCAGUUGGAACCAUUUAGGCAGCAUUCGAGGCUCCUGUCGGUGCUGAGAACUGUAGCGCUGUAUCCCUGUGUAAAUAUCUGUUGCUGAGAUUUCUAGAGGCAGCUGCAGAAGUUUUUUGGGUUUUCCCCCAUGGCCCCAUCUCACUAUCAUAAUUUUCAACCCCUCGUCUUCUCUUUCUGAAGUGUGUCUCUUUGGUCUCUGAUGCCCACAGUGCUUUUCAGUUGCUAAUAAACUGUGUGAUGUGCUUUGUCACUUUUGUGCCUGGCUCCAGAAACAAGAAGUACAUCAGAGAAGGUUGUAGUUUUUAGAUAAUAGUUUUUAGAUCUGACAAUAGUGAAUAUAUUGCACACAUGGGCAUCUUUGUCUGCUAGCAGGUAUGUCCUAGUGGUGCACCACCUUUAGAGAAGGUGCUCACCUGAUUGCUUGAAGUGAUGUAAUCAUUUCAUAUACAUGUACGUAUUUUGAACAUAUUUCACAUAUAUAUAUAUAUAUAAAAUACAGCUUUUUAAUUAUUAUUUUAACUUUUCUGUGAUUGCUGUUGCUUGCUAUGCUGAAAGAGUCUCCGAAGGCAUGAGGCUUUAAAAUGUGCAGUAUGUCAUGGUGCAGACAAAGUUGUACCUGUACUUCAGUGGCCUGGGUUUUGGCUGCCAUAUACAAGGGGUUGGCUCAUUGCCUGUCAGACUUUAGUCUCAGUCUCAGAUUAGUGACUGUUUUUGUCACUGCAAUCUGUUUAGGUUCUUCAGAAUGUUUUAAGUAACAGCCUCAUGCUGUUAUUUACUAAAGCGUGGUAGCAACAUGGGAGCACCAAUAGGUUUUGGGUUAGACCUCAGUCAGCACAAGUUUGAACCUUGUGUUGCUGUUAAACAGAACUGAUAAUACACCACUUUCAGUCUGGGAAUUAAAAUCUGGGGUAGUGCUAUCUUUAUUUUCCUUUUAGCCACUGAAAUAAUGACCCACUUCCAGUAACUAGUAAAUCCAAAGACAAGCAAAUUUGAAAGUCACAGUAAGUUGCAGUGUUAAUUUAGCAGGAAUGCUGUUGUUCACUGCAAAGACAAUCAGGUCAUACACUCAUGUGCCACUCAUUAAUUACAGUUCUGACUGGAAACUGCUAGAAUCAAAUGCCUGAACUCUGGAGGGGGGCCUACAUGAGCAGGCAAGAGGCAAAUCUUUAUCUAUUGCUGUCUUACUGAAAGGAAAUAGUAAAAAAAUACAAGCCGUUUGUCUUCUUUAAGCAUUUUGUGAAAGAGAGUAAAGCUGUGGACUGGGGGUCCUAAGAGAUAUUACAACAAAUAAUACAGUCUCAUCAGUUGGGACAGUGUAGCAUCUGUAUCAAAAAGUGUUUAAUUUUGGGUCGUGCUUCUGUUUGUAUAAAGAUGGUUUUACUUAAUAUGUAUAAGUAACCAAGGACCUAAGUUGGAGGAAGAUACUUCUUGAAAGAGUGAAGAUUUCAUCCACUGCCUUGUAUUAAGUUGUAUUAAGUUCAGGGUAUCACACUCUUUUUAAAAGAGUGGCCUAAUGUCAGGCCUUUGACCUCAAGUUUAAUAUUCAAUUGUAAAAGUAAUGGAUUUUAGAGCUUAAGCAGGGAAAAGAGAGUGAAAAAGGAUGCCAGCACUUCAAACACUGCAUGUUCCUAAAGGUUGGCAGCAGAUGAAAAUGGAGAGGAUGGAGGUGAUGGGUAUCCCUGCCACCAAUCUGAUGGUGCCCCUGAAUAUGCCCCUUUCCUGCCCGUGUUCUUGGUGGGCCCUCGACAUUGACUGAUGAGCUGCUGUUGCACUACCCUGUACGUGUUUCUCCUUGAUCCUCUGGGGUCGGGUAGUUACACUUGCAAGUAUAGGUGGCAUUGCAAUCCAGCUAGACAAAACCAUAAACCUAGGUCCUGCACCUUCUGUACUAAAAGGAGGGGAGGACUUUGAUUGCAGGAGCAUUUGCUGCCAAAGGACAGAGGAUCAUGGAAGGAAAAUGAAAUGGCUUGUAGGAAGUGUGGACCACAAGGCUGCUGAAACACAGACUGUCUGGCUCUCCCUGCCUCAUUCCUCUACCCCAGAGAUGAUGUGGCUUUUUCCAGGUUCCUCCUUCUCCUGAGAGACAGUGCAAAGAGAUGGAGGGGUCCUUGAAGCCAUCUUUGCCAUCACAGUCUUCAUGGCCUUGUGAAAAUUGCUUUGUCCCACCUCUGAGUUGUUAAAGACUUCUGCAAGUGUGAUUACAUAAUCAGUCAAGUACAUCUGAGUGCUUUGCUUGCUACAAUCCUGCUGCAGCAACUUGGAACCAGUUUUAAGACAGACACUGAAAAUGGCUUGUGGCUGUUUCUUGGGAUGAUCUGAUCUAAGGGCUGCCAGCACAGUAAAAGAGCAAGGCUUGCCUGUUGCAUCUAUAGUAAUUGGUACCCCAGAGGGAGUCACCUGCUUCUAAGAGAUAGGCAGCUUCUUUCUACCCUUCUUCUUAUGAAUCACAGCUGCUGAGAGAUACUGUGUCCUUGGUGAUGCAGAGUGAACAGAUGCCUUAACACAGAGACCCAAGUUGCUCCAAAGUUGGAAUGUUCUUCUCUUAACUUGUUAUUGAUGCAGUAGAAUAAACAUGGCUGUCCCUUUCUAGCUGUACAAGAGAUAGCAUUGCCUGCUUUUUAUCAUUACCCCCUGAGCAGCUCGUCUCCAACAGCACGUGCUCCUACAGACUUGUUGCUGUGGGUUACCAUCCACCUACCUGCCAGCAGGGACUGGUCAUGGAGACAGCAUCAACCUAAACUCUUCAGUUCUGGUACUAACUUUGUUUCCAUAUUUUGUAAAGCCUAUUCAGCUCCUUUUUUUUUUUUUGGGUGGCAUAAAGCUGCCAAACAUCUGGCAUCUUUGUUUAGUGAUUGCAAAUAAACUCUUGACAACUUUGCUUAGUUGCAAAGGCAAGAACAGAUUAAUGCAAGUAAGAGUCAAAGUAGUAAAUAAAGGGUGUUCUCUGAAGACAGCAGUGCUCAGUAUCUGGGGUUCAGGCUAAAGAUCCCAAAAAGAACAACAUCUGAUGCUAAUAAUGCCAAAAUAUUUGCAGCUAACCCUCUCUGCAAGGCUACAUUCUACUCCCACAAGGAUCCCACUGAUGUAACACUGAGGGUGGAUUUGUUAGCUUGUGUCAUGCAUGCCCCAAUGUCAGUGCAGGAGCAGGAGAGGUAGUUCUUUCCUUUCUUGGGGUAAGCUGUUAUGGUAUCCACUGCCUCAUAUACUUGCACCCAAGUAGCGUGCCUUCCCACUCUGCUCUUUACAGGUACCUGUGUGCAAUGCCACUUCAUCCUCUCCAUCUACACUUUUGCACCAAUCCUGCUGACAUUCCUCCUGCUCCUCAUCCUGGCCUCUGGCAAACUUUAAGCUCACAACAGCCAGGCAAUGACACAGAUGUGUGUGGUUUGCCUGCACACUGUGUACAGAGCCUUUCCCUGUCUGUAACAUGCCCCAGAAAUCAAAGAUGACUGGCUGCUACAGGAAGUCAAAGUCACUCAGGCCCCAGAGAAGCAGAUGGCUCAAAAGUAAGAAAAUUGCCAGUGGCUUAGUUAUGUGAUAGCAGGGGAGGAAAGUGUGACCACUUUUCCGUGAUCAGUCACAGAGCAAAACCAUGUGGCUUUUACACCUAUUUGAUCUGCAAUACUUAAAUAUUAGUAAUUACAAGUAAUAAAUAUUAUUUAUAAUAUUACUUGUUAUAAAUAGUUGUGCAAGUUGUAAUCUUCCCACUUCCUCUCAUCAUGGUCAUGCUACAGGUUGCAUAAUUUUUAAGUUCUGGUUUUAAUAAAGAAUCAAAUGGAACACAGAAAUAUUGGAUUAUGCGCAGGUGUGAAUUUGCAACAUGUAAACAAACUGCUGGCAGUUACAAGGCUCUCUUUAAAAGAAUUUUUCUUGCAAAUGCAGUUCUUUUCUAGCUGGGUCACUGUGAGGGGAGGAAAAAAAAAGAAAAAGCAAAAGUGUGGCUUUGUGAGGGAAAAUGGGAAGCAAAGAAAGCAACCUCAUCACCAGCUUAAUUAAACUGGCA